rnacentral:ncRNA from 1 species
UAUGAAGUGCCGGUGCCCCGUUAUCAGGCGGGGAGAAUAGGGAAUCAGGUGAGAAUCCUGCGCGAUCCCGUCACUGUGAUAGAGCGUAUCGGUCCAUUAUGUCACUGGGCAGUUUAAAAGCCCGGGAAGGCGGACUGAUAUGAUAAGUUCUUCAGCCAGAAGACCUGCCGGUACUUAA